ACCUCUUGUUCGGAUUAGCGCCGGCCUCGAGCAGGAUCCUCGCGACCUCGACGUGACGGUUCCGUAGGGCCAGGCGUAGCGGCUCAUCGCACAACAUAGUCCUGAAUCAAAAAAUGGCGAGAAUACAGAAUACUGACAAGUAUUUUAAAAGAUAUCGAUAGCUAUGGUCAUCAAUGACUACCAGUCGAUGCUACAAGUCGCACGACGCACCUGGGGAAAAGUUCCCCCGUGUCCUGCCGAUGAUCCACCUUGGCGCCAUACUUCAGCAGCAACUUCACCAGGUCCAGGUAGCCGUGCUCGGCGGCGAGAUGCAGGGCCGAGUAGCCGCACUCGUCGGUGGCGUCGAUGUCGGCG